rnacentral:rRNA from 1 species
GACGAACGCUGGCGGCGUGCCUAAUACAUGCAAGUAGAACGCUGAAGGAGGAGCUUGCUUCUCUGGAUGAGUUGCGAACUGGUGAGCAACGCGUAGGUAACCUGCCUGGUAGCUGGGGAUAACUAUUGGAAACGAUAGCUAAUACCGCAUAAUAGCAGUUGUUGCAUGACAACUGUUUGAAAGGUGCACUUGCACCACUACCAGAUGGACCUGCGUUGUAUUAGCUAGUUGGUGGGGUAACGGCUCACCAAGGCGACGAUACAUAGCCGACCUGAGAGGGUGAUCGGCCACACUGGGACUGAGACACGGCCCAGACUCCUACGGGAGGCAGCAGUAGGGAAUCUUCGGCAAUGGACGGAAGUCUGACCGAGCAACGCCGCGUGAGUGAAGAAGGUUUUCGGAUCGUAAAGCUCUGUUGUAAGAGAAGAACGAGUGUGAGAGUGGAAAGUUCACACUGUGACGGUAUCUUACCAGAAAGGGACGGCUAACUACGUG